rnacentral:rRNA from 1 species
GAAUUUGCCUUUAGGAGGGGGACAACAACUGGAAACGGUUGCUAACACCCCAUAUGCUUUCGAGUGAAAUGGAUUUCCGCCUAAAGAGAAGCUUGCGGCUGAUUAGCUUGUUGGUGAGGUAAUGGCUCACCAAGGCGACGAUCAGUAUCUGGUUUGAGAGGACGAUCAGACACACUGGAACUGAGACACGGUCCAGACUCCUACGGGAGGCAGCAGUGGGGAAUUUUCCGCAAUGGGCGAAAGCCUGACGGAGCAAUACCGCGUGAGGGAUGACGGCCUAUGGGUUGUAAACCUCUUUUUUCAGGGAGGAAUCAAUGACGUGUACCUGAAGAAUAAGCAUCGGCUAACUCCGUGCCAGCAGCCGCGGUAAGACGGAGGAUGCAAGUGUUAUCCGGAAUCACUGGGCGUAAAGCGUCUGUAGGUGGUCAAAUAAGUCAACUGUUAAAUCUUGAGGCUCAACCUCAAAAUCGCAGUCGAAACUAUUAGACUAGAGUAUAGUAGGGGUAAAGGGAAUUUCCAGUGGAGCGGUGAAAUGCGUAGAGAUUGGAAGGAACACCGAUGGCGAAGGCACUUUACUGGGCUAUUACUAACACUCAGAGACGAAAGCUAGGGUAGCAAAUGGGAUUAGAUACCCCAGUAGUCCUAGCUGUAAACAAUGGAUACUAGAUGUUGAACAGAUCGACCUGUGCAGUAUCAAAGCUAACGCGUUAAGUA